AACGAACGCUGGCGGCGCGUUUUAAGCAUGCAAGUCGAGCGGUAAGGUCCUUUCGGGACCCCAGAGCGGCGGACGGGUGAGUAACACGUGGAUAAUCUGCCUUCCAGUCCGGGAUAGCACAUGGGAAACAUGUGAUAAUACCGGAUACGAUGUUGCCUGCCACAUGGCGGGUGCAGGAAAGGUCCUGCGGGGAUCGCUGGGGAGAUGAGUCCGCGGCCCAUUAGCUGGUUGGCGGGGUAAAGGCCCACCAAGGCGACCGAUGGGGUAGCCGGGCCUGGAGAGGGGUGGACGGGCCAC
rnacentral:rRNA from 1 species